rnacentral:tRNA from 1 species
UGAGCUGGAAUUCGGUAGUUGAAUAUUUCUUUUACGCAGAAAAUGUCGUUUGUGCAAUUCAAGCUAGCUUAA